GACGAACGCUGGCGGCGUGCUUAACACAUGCAAGUCGAACGAUGAAGAAGAGAAACGCGAACUUCGGUUCAAAUUUCACUUCGGAUUAGUGGCAGACGGGUGAGUAACGCGUGAGCAACCUACCUCUUACAAAGGGAUAGCCUCGGGAAACCGUGAUUAAUACCAUAUGACACAUUCAUAAGGCAUCUUAAGACUGUUAAAGCUACGGCGGUAAGAGAUGGGCUCGCGUCCCAUUAGCUAGUUGGUGAGGUAACGGCCCACCAAGGCGACGAUGGGUAACCGGCCUGAGAGAGUGAACGGUCACAUUGGAACUGAGACACGGUCCAAACUCCUACGGGAGGCAGCAGUGGGGAAUAUUGCACAAUGGAGGGAACUCUGAUGCAGCGACGCCGCGUGAGCGAUGAAGGAAUUCGUUUCGUAAAGCUCUGUUCUAUGGGAAGAAAAGGACUGUACCAUAGGAGAAAGCCCCGGCUAAAUACGUG
rnacentral:rRNA from 1 species